CCCUAGUUGUCAUGGGAACCUCGCCCCCCUUAGAGUCCUGACCGCUUGACUCCGCGAAGCGCGAACGUGUUGUUUCUUCCUGAGAUUUGGGAGGCUGGAGGACAUCUGGGGGCCACAGUGCUCCUUUUCCUAGAGACUCAACUCAAGGUCAGGGCAACAGGAUGGUGGUGCCUGGAGAAGGCCCUGGCUUCCCUGAAAGCCCUCCCGGCCUGUCUCUGACCUGCACUGGAAGCGGGGGUCUCCAGGGUGGGUCUUCAGCACC